rnacentral:piRNA from 1 species
UGAACUGCAGAAUCCUGAGGGCCCACAACC